rnacentral:lncRNA from 1 species
AUAGCUAGGGAGAAAUAAUGUAGCUAGGGAGAAAUAAUGUAGUAGGGGAAAAUAAUAUAGCUAGGGGAAAUAAUAUAGCUAGGGAGAAAUAAUGUAGCUAGGGGGAAAUAAUAUAGGUUGGGGGGAAAUAAUGUAGCUAGGGGAAAAUAAUGUAGUUAGGGAGAAAUAAUGUAGCUAUGGAGAAAUAAUGUAGCUAGGGAGAAAUAAUAUAGGUUGGGGGUAAAUAACAUAGCUAGGGGGAAAUAAUAUAGAUUGGGGGGAAAUAAUAUAGCAAGGGAGAAAUAAUGUAGCUAGGGAGAAAUAUUGUAGCUAGGGGGAAAUAAUAUAGGUUGGGGGAAAUAAUAUAGCUAGGGAGAAAUAAUGUAGAUUGGGGGAAAUAAUAUAGCGAGUGAGAAAUAAUGUAGCUAGGGAGAAAUAAUGUAGCUAGGGGGAAAUAAUAUAGGUUGGGGGGAAAUAAUAUAGCUAGUGAGAAAUAAUGUAGCUAGGGGGGAAAUAAUAUAGGUUGGGGAAAUAAUAUAGCUAGGGAGAAAUCAUGUAGCUAGGGAGAAAUAAUGUAGCUAGGGGGAAAUAAUAUAGCUUCGGGAGAAAUAAUAUAAGUUGGGGUGGAAAAUAAUAUUGCUAGGGAGAAAUAAUAUAGGUAGGGGGAAAUAAUAUAGCUAGGGAGAAAUAAUAUAGCUAGGGAGAAAUAAUAUAGCUAGGGAGAAAUAAUGUAGCUAGGGAGAAAUAAUGUAGCUAGGGAGAACUAAUGUAGCUAGGGGAAA